rnacentral:tRNA from 1 species
GCAUUAGUAGCUCAGACUCAGAGCGUCGGUCUUGUAAACCGAAUGUCGGGGGCUAAAUUCCCCCCUUAUGC